GGUGGUCAAAUCAUGCUGAAAAGAACCAGUUCUCAUUCGAUUACCAAAGUUAAGCAGUGUUGAGCCCGGUUAUUACUUAGAUAGGGGACCAUUUCCGAACACCAGGUAAUGUAA